rnacentral:tRNA from 1 species
UAAAAAGAAAAUCCGUUGGCUUUAUUGACCGUGAGGGUUCAAGUCCC